rnacentral:lncRNA from 1 species
CUCUAUAGGAGUUCCAAUCAUAAGAAGACAUAUAAUACGAAUACUCAUCUUCCUAGCAAUGCAAAGUAUAAAUAUGAGCUUCUGCUUUAUAAUACAACUUGCACUAUCCGCAUGUCUGCUUUGAUUCUGGUUAAUUGCUAGAUCUUUGAUGCUCACAUAAUUCCACAAUAUUCUCAUACUCUGACUUCUAAAAUAAGGACUUUAAGAAGAAGAUGAGCUCCGUGA